GGGGAGAUAGCUCAGUUGGUAAAGCGUUUGCCUUUCAAGCACAGGGCCCUGGGUUCGAUCCCCUGCCCCCCCA